AUUGAACGCUGGCGGCAGGCUUAACACAUGCAAGUCGAGCGAGCGGCGGACGGGUGAGUCAUGUCUGGGAAACUGCCUGAUGGAGGGGGAUAACUACUGGAAACGGUAGCUAAUACCGCAUACCAUCAGAUGUGCCCAGAUGGGAUUAGCUAGUAGGUGGGGUAAUGGCUCACCUAGGCGACGAUCCCUAGCUGGUCUGAGCGGAUGACCAGCAACACGGGAACUGAGGCACGGUCAAAAGGCCUAGGGUAGGCAGAAGGGGGAGAUAUUGGACAAUGGGAGCAAUGCUGAUGCAGCAAGGCGGCGUGUGUGAAGAAGGCCUUCGGGUUGUAAAGAACUUGCAGAGAGGAGGCGUUACUCGCAGAAGAAGCACCGGCUAACUCCGUGCCAGCAGCCGCGGUAAUAC
rnacentral:rRNA from 1 species